UCCUACGGGAGGCAGCAGUGGGGAAUAUUGCGCAAUGGGGGAAACCCUGACGCAGCAACGCCGCGUGAGUGAAGACGGCCUUCGGGUUGUAAAGCUCUGUCGCAGGGGACGAAAAUGACGGUACCCUGCAAGAAAGCUCCGGCUAACUACGUGCCAGCAGCCGCGGUAAUACGUAGGGAGCAAGCGUUGUCCGGAAUUACUGGGUGUAAAGGGAGCGUAGGCGGGAGGAUAAGUUGAAUGUGAAAUCCAUGGGCUCAACCCAUGGCGGCGUUCAAAACUGUUUUUCUUGAGUGA
rnacentral:rRNA from 1 species